rnacentral:rRNA from 1 species
GUCCACGCCCUAAACGAUGAACACUAGGUGUCGGGGGAGUUAAAUCCUCCGGUGUCGCAGCUAACGCAUUAAGUGUUCCGCCUGGGGAGUACGGCCGCAAGGUUGAAACUCAAAGGAAUUGACGGGGCCCGCACAAGCGGUGGAGCAUGUGGUUCAAUUCGACGCUACGCGAAGAACCUUACCUAGGCUUGACAUCUGGGGAAUUUUCUGGAAACAGAGAAGUGCCUCGCAAGAGGAGCCCCAAGACAGGUGCUGCAUGGCUGUCGU